CAGCUGAAUAAUAUGUAUAACACAGAAUACAAAAUAUCUGGUAACCAAUUGGUAAAAAUCCUGUACGUCCACUCAAGCAUUGCCAGGCAUGUAAAGGAGGAAAAUAUGUCCUAUGGUAACAGAAAAAUGCAGUUAAUAGAAACAGAUCCAGAAAUGAUGUAGAUGAUACAAUUAGGACAGAGACAAUAAAACAGUUAUUUUAACUAUAUUCCGUAUAUUCAAGAAGAUAUUCUAUAUAUCUCAAUAGACACAGAAAAAACAUUUGACAAAAUACAGCACCCCUUCAUGUUCAACACACUAGAAAAACUAGGGAUAACAGGAACAUAACAUCGUAAAGGCUAUCUACUCUAAGCCCCAGGCCACCAUCAUUCGAAAUGGAGAAAAAUUCAAGGCAUUCCCUCUAAAAACUGGAACAAGACAGGGAUACCCUCUUU
rnacentral:lncRNA from 1 species